rnacentral:lncRNA from 1 species
AUGACAUGUGGGUCUUGGCCUGCCCUCCAAUCUGCUUACCCCAUGCUGGUCCAUAAGAGAGAGGAUUUUUUAUUUUUUUCUUGGGAAAAACUCAUUGGGAUGAAGAAAGAAGUUAAUAAGCCAAAUGGAGACUGUCUCGCUUCACUGUGCCUCUUGGCUCCCUUCCAGCCUAGGCUGUUAUUAAAUUACCCACAACACAGGAGCACGGAGCCCUGCGCACCAGCUUUCCUAGCAGCCUUUGUUUCUGAUUUGUGCCCAUCAGCCCCAAAACAUGAGCCAGGCAGUGGGACACCUCCGUCGAGCUGCAAUGCCUGGUUCAGGAAGCUCACCACAGAUGCAGCAAAACCAGGCGGCAGCUGCAACUUUGGCUGCACACAAUGGCACUGCCAGAGCUUUGCCCUGAAGCCGGUAGCUCCCAGGAGCACAAACAGGACAAUUUGCAAAUUGGAGCAUAGCUUUUUGGUUGUCUCAAAUGCUGGAGUGUUUUUUUUAUUAUUAUUAUUAUUUAUUAUUUUUAUUUUUUUAUUUCUGUGGUGGGGUCUCCAUUUCAUGCAGCCAGCAUGCCCCAGCUGUCCCUGCUGGUGGCAGCUGCUCAGGAAAAGGGGAGGGCAUUGGGGUCCCCCUCAUCCCACUGGGGUUACUUCUCCCACUGCAAAAUGGUGUUGGGGUCAAAAAAGCUUUUGGGAGGUUAUGGCUUUCUGUAAUGGAGGCAUCUGGAGGGAGUCUCUGGGGAGUGUAGGCAUCUUUUCUCAAAAAGAUGAAGAUGGCCUUGCCAACCCUGCCUUAUUUAAGAGGUUAUUAUUGUUUAUAGAAAGGAUGACAAUGAGGUUUCCACUCUUUUUUUUUUUUUUUUUUUUUAAUUCAUCCACAAAACACUUUAUAUGGAUAAAUGAGGUUAAUUCAAGACUUGUCAUAGAAUCACUGAAUCAUUCAGGUUGGAGAAGACCUCUAAGAUCAUACAGUCCAACCUUUAACCUAGUACUAAAUUCUACCACUAAACCUUGCUACUAA